CCCGCCCGGGAUGCACAGUGUUCUUCACUACAACAGACCUUCAACACACGAGUGAUAAGACCCGUUUCUAACUACUUUCGAUCCAACAGGUUGAUUUUACCGUUGAAGACUUGACGUUUUUGGAACUUCGAGUACACCAUAAGACCAUUUUCUACGCAGCAGCUACCGGCAUUGGCUAUCACGAGGUUUAGCCGAAAUAAAAACUGGACAUCGCCAAAUAGCCCGUGGAGGCGAAAUUGCAGGUGUGAGCACAUCGCCCUGCCAAGGCUGGACCGUUUAUACGAAAUCGUGAUCUGCAUUAGGAAGCACGACGAAGUGUAAAUACAAUCCGGCCUUUUAUCAGACUAAUUUCAUAAUCUUAAAGAUUACAUUGUUCUCUCGGAAAAGGAUAAACAAAAAACCAUAUUUUUGGAAAAGGUCAAGAUCAACCCAAAAUACACCGUCUUCCUAACCUUUCAAUUAAUCCUAAAAAUUACCGGCAAUUUGUCAAGUUUUCUAGGCUUCCGGCUAUCUGAAUCAUCGGUCUUUUAAAUAAACGCAACCUCUGAAAAAUUUCAACGAUUCAAGUUAGCCGGAUAAUUUAUUACACAUGAUCCUUAAGUUUUUCCCAUAUGGGAAAAAGCUUUCAGCUUUUUCAUCAUCGAGACGUGUAACCGCAAGGACUUAAAGCUGAAGAAGAGGGUUUAUUCGCGACGUCAAACCGGAUUAUAAUUAUCUUCAUCGU